rnacentral:rRNA from 1 species
GACGAACGCUGGCGGUGUGCUUCACACAUGCAAGUCGAACGAGGUAGCAAUACCUAGUGGCGGACGGGUGAGUAACGCGUGGGAAUCUGCCUUUAGAUGGGGGGAUAACGGGUCGAAAGACUCGCUAAUACCGCAUAUGACGAAAGUUGAAAGGAGUAAUCCGUCUAAAGAUGAGCCCGCGUCCGAUUAGCUAGUUGGUAGAGUAAAAGCCUACCAAGGCGACGAUCGGUAGCUGGUCUGGAGAGGAUGAUCAGCCACAAUGGGAACUGAGGACACGGCCCAUACUCCUACGGGAGGCCAGCAGGUGAGGAAUCGUUGCGCAAUCGGGGGAAACCCUGGACGCAGGCCAACGGCCGACGUGAGUGAAGGAAGGCCCUUGGGUCGUAAGCUCUGUCAGAUGGGAA